CUACGUGCCAGCAGCCGCGGUAAUACGGAAGGUCCAGGCGUUAUCCGGAUUUAUUGGGUUUAAAGGGAGCGUAGGCUGGAGAUUAAGUGUGUUGUGAAAUGUAGACGCUCAACGUCUGAAUUGCAGCGCAUACUGGUUUCCUUGAGUACGCACAACGUUGGCGGAAUUCGUCGUGUAGCAGUGAAAUGCGUAGAUAUGCGGAGGAACACCGAUGGCGAAGGCAGCCUCCUGGGAUAACACUGACGUUCAUGCUCGAAAGCGUGGGGAGCAAACAGGAUUAGAUACCCUGGUAGUCCACGCCGUAAACGAUGAGUGCUAGGUGUUAGACCCUUUCCGGGGUUUAGUGCCGCAGCUAACGCAUUAAGCACUCCGCCUGGGGAGUACGACCGCAAGGUUGAAACUCAAAGGAAUUGACGGGGGCCCGCACAAGCGGAGGAACAUGUGGUUUAAUUCGAUGAUACGCGAGGAACCUUACCCGGGAUUGAA
rnacentral:rRNA from 1 species